AUGUCGGACGAAGAUGGCGACCCCGACUGGCUUACUGCCUUCAAGGCACCAAGUACUGCACCGGUGAUGCUUUCUUCUGAUUCCGAUCGUUCUCGUGGAAAUAGCCCUACAAGAACUGCUCCAUCUAAUCAAGAAGAAAAGGCUCCGAGGAAGAAGUUGAUGCUCUCAUCUGAUUCUGAAGCUUCUCCUGGAAACAGCCCUUCAAGGGCUGGUGACGCUGAUGAAGAAGAGGACUCACUUGCCAAUACCAGGAAAAAAGAUGAUCAGCAAUCUAAGGGUAAAAAAACAAAGGUUGCUGUAAGAAAAGUUCCUGCGAAAAGAGAUGAUACCUUGGAACAACCCGAAGAUGAAGCUAAUGAGGAAAAAAUGCAGGACAAGCUUGUGGAUAAUUCUGUCUCCCAGAGGUUGCCAUUGACCAUUGCUGAUAAAGUUCAACGUUCAAAGGCAUUGGUUGAAUGUGAUGGUGACUCGAUAGACUUGAGCGGAGAUAUUGGAGCUGUCGGUAGGAUAGUAAUUUCAAAUGGUCCGACUGGAAAUCAUGAUUUGUUACUGGACCUGAAAGGAACAGUGUACAAAUCAACUAUAGUGCCAUCCAGGACAUUUUGUGUUGUCAGCGUGGGACAAACAGAAGCAAAGAUAGAGGCUAUCGUGAAUGACUUCAUUCAGUUGGAACCUCAUUCCAAUUUAUUUGAAUCAGAGACUAUGAUGGAAGGUACCCUUGAUGGAUUCACAUUUGAUUCAGAUGGAGAGGGUGAUAGGCUUCAUGAACUUAACGCUUCUCAGAAUGAUCCAAACAAUGAGAAUGAAGAUCAACCUAAGGGGAAAACCAAAAGGAAAGCAGCCGUGAAGCCAGCGGCUAAGGGACAGAAGAAGGCAAAGGUUGCUAAGAAGGGAACAAGGAAAACCCAAACAACGAAGAGAGCGAAGAAGGCAAAGAAAUAG
rnacentral:rRNA from 1 species